rnacentral:tRNA from 1 species
UGGCUCAGUGGUUAGAGCACUGGCUCUUCCAGAGGUCCUGAGUUCAAAUCCCAG